GGGAUGAACGCUGGCGGCGUGCUUAACACAUGCAAGUCGAACGAUGAAGGCUGGAGCUUGCUCUGGCUGGAUUAGUGGCGAACGGGUGAGUAACACGUGAGUAACCUGCCCCAGACUCUGGGAUAAGCGCUGGAAACGGCGUCUAAUACCGGAUACGAGCUUCCACCGCAUGGUGAGGAGCUAGGAAAGUAAUUUCGGUCUGGGAUGGACU
rnacentral:rRNA from 1 species